rnacentral:rRNA from 1 species
CCUACGGGAGGCAGCAGUGGGGAAUAUUGGACAAUGGGCGAAAGCCUGAUCCAGCAAUGCCGCGUGAGUGAUGAAGGCCUUAGGGUUGUAAAGCUCUUUUACCAGGGAUGAUAAUGACAGUACCUGGAGAAUAAGCUCCGGCUAACUCCGUGCCAGCAGCCGCGGUAAUACGGAGGGAGCUAGCGUUGUUCGGAAUUACUGGGCGUAAAGCGUACGUAGGCGGUUAUUCAAGUCAGAGGUGAAAGCCUGGAGCUCAACUCCAGAACUGCCUUUGAAACUAGAUAGCUAGAAUCUUGGAGAGGUGAGUGGAAUUCCGAGUGUAGAGGUGAAAUUCGUAGAUAUUCGGAAGAACACCAGUGGCGAAGGCGACUCACUGGACAAGUAUUGACGCUGAGGUACGAAAGCGUGGGGAGCAAACAGGAUUAGAUACCCUGGUAGUCCACGCCGUAAACGAUGAUAACUAGCUGUUCGGGCUCUACGAGCUUGUAGUGGCGCGAGACUACGACAUUAAGUUAGUCCGUCCGUCGGGAGGUACGGUCGCGAAGAAGUUAAACGUAACGUAAAGUUAAAGUUAGUACGGCGUUGAGACGUUGCCGAGGACGACGACGAGGGAGGAGG